rnacentral:other from 1 species
CUGCCCCUGCGAUGUACGCCAAGAAGGCAAGGAUUUGAAAGAACCGAUACCCGUACUGAGGGGAAUCCUGCCUUGAUGUGCUGCGAAUGCCUGGAGAUCAGGAAUCAAGGCCUCAAGUAAGGAUUGCCCACCUGGAAGUAAUGGGUUCUCUUCAGCGACGCCUUCUAGCGGCAAUCGUGGAGGUUAG